ACAAAGUGUGACGAUUGCACCAUUUUGAUUCAACCAAAAUCCAAGUGACUAAACAUGGUUCAAAACAAAGAAAUUCUCUAGAGUUCUACAUUGCAACGUCCCAAAAAAAAACAAAGAAAGAGAGUGGCGGCUGGUGGAAUGUUUUUCCCUAGGACCAUGUGUCCUAAUAAAAAUGGGUGGGGUCCACCCUAAAAGAAACCCUAGGGUGACAAGUGUCCUANAAUUUUGGGNCCCUCAUAAUUUUUUAACAAUGGCCCAAUGUGCAAAAGUUUGUCGAAAAAGUUUAAGCAAUUAAAAUUACACUACAAUUAAUUUUAAAAUGNCUAAUUGGAGAGUCUUGAAUUAAUUUGUCUCCAUCCUAAUGCUCCAAAAUAUAUCUCCAAAAUUUUCCCUGCAAUUAAAAAUGCAAAUAAUUAG
rnacentral:lncRNA from 1 species